ensembl:lncRNA
UUCCCAUGGACCACACAGCUGACCACCUGCUACCUUGGUGAUCUUAACACUUGCUUCUCUCUCCUGCUCCCUCGUUUCAAGCACGCCGACCUCAGGUGUUGCUUCUAACCUGCCAGGUAUCUUCCCACCUUGAGACCAUUGCAUGGGCUUCGUUUCCUGCCUGGGACUCCCUUCCUUUAGGUUUUUGUUCUGUUUUGUUUGGGGGGGGAACAAUGCGCCAAUCAGUAGGUAAUGAGUUGCUCAAGAAAAGAGUUGACUGGGGCCAGAGAGGAGAAGAACCUUUCAGAAGCGCAUGUUUUGGGUAACAUAAUUUCAUUCAGCCACAAGCCUCACAUUGACCAGGCGAUACGGUAAACGCCCUCUCCUUGACAUUAGAGACCAGGCAAUACGGUAAACGCCCUCCCCUUGGUAAAGAGGAGUUGCUUUAGUGAAAGUCGAAGUGCGGGGAAUUGAACACACAAGGAGCUGGCUGCUCUCUUGCUUUUGUUUUUCUUCCCCUUAAAUUCUUAGCAAACCAGCUUUCAUUCGAACGACGUUUCCAUCCCUCGCCAAUGGUCGGGGAGAAGUUCUGGAUCUUUCCCUGCCUUCUCUGCCCACCAGACCAGAGCAUCAAGCCUGGAAAAGAAUGGAGGGGGUGCUGGGGGCGGGGAGGAGGAGGGAGGAAGGAGGUUGCAAUUAAAAAAGGAGAGAGAAAGAGCCUCGAAGGAAACUGUGGGUCAGACCAGCUUCAGAAGUCAGCAGGACCACUUCCCGCAGCGCCCCCUCCCGCUGCAGCUAUCACACACGGAGAACAAUAUUCAGUAGUCAUUUUGAUCCGUGGCCAAGGCUUCAAAACGUGUCUUUGAAACGCCAGGCAGCAUCUGGAGCAAAAGACAUCCAGCCCCCGAAGGCCCCCCAGGCUGAAGGAACUCGGCCCUGGAGUCGGACGGCCUAAACUGCCAUGUCACAGCGUUGCUUGCUUCUCCAGGGUGAGCCUCCAACGCAGCAUCGGGCCUGCGAUUCCGCAGGACCCCGCGUCUGUGUGGGCAGCCUCUGCCCUGCAGAGGAGAAGAUGGUCUGUGCAUUUCUGCUUUGGGCUUCUGGGUUUAAUUACGGGAAUACGAGGUGUCAGGUACAAAUUCAAGGACUGCUUAGCACACCUGCGGCCUCCUCGCGUCCUCUCCCCACCUCGCCGCCGCCGCCCCCCUCACCUCCUGCCGAAGACAGAGCUCCUAGGGCCCCUGAUGUCAAUGAGGCAGGCAGCCCACGGCACCGAGGGAGCCCCAUGGAGCCAAGAGCAGCCUGUGUUCUUGGUCUGGGAUUUCUAUGAUGAGACCUGGUUCUCAGGAUCAAGAACAAAGGCCCAGUCUCCAGCCAUCAUAUCUGAUCUCGAGGUAUCAGGCUGGAAGAUGAGAAAAAAAGCAAAAAAAGCAAAGGUCACUUGUCAGCGAUUGCCAAGAUCCCUUCACUCCCGGCCAUGUGGCAUCCUUAACCCACUGAUCAAGACCAGGGAUAGAACUCAAAUCUUCGUGGAUCCUAGUCGGGUUCUUCCCUCACUGAGCCUCGACAGGAACGCCUGAAGUUUUCUUAACUAAGAAUGAGAGAGAAGAGAAACUGAGUUCUCUGCCAGGAUUGAUCAUCUUGAGUGGCCAACCAAAGUUCUUUAUUUGACCAAAAUAAGAGUGGGAACAUCUGUUGUGCACCAAACACAUUCACAUGGCUCCUCGAGGGAGGAAAACAAAGUUUUAACGCUUUGCUACCUCCCGGCAAAGUUCAGAGUCUAUGGCCCUCUGCGUCUGCCUCCAGGUGCUGUUUCUUAUAACCUUGCAGUUUGGGGCAAAAGAAAGUUAUGCAGAGGGUGACUUACCCGAUAUUAAGACCUGUUAUAAUUCUAGCACAGGGACAGACAGACAGAUCAAUGGGGCCAAAGAUAGCGCCUAAAGGAGACCUCAGCGUUUAUGAGACUUUGUGAUAUGGUCCAGGAGAUAUGAUAAUUAAAUGGGGGAAAAGCUGGACUAAUCAAAAAGUGUUUUAGAGAUAUAUCUCUCUCUGCCUCAGAGUGUGCACAAAAAUCAGCUCACGUGGCAUCAAAACUCUAAAUGUCGAAAACGGAAAACAGCUCCACAACGGGAGAAUAUCUUUAUGACACUGGAGGUCAGACAGGCUUUCCCUUUUUUUAUUAUGAAAAUUCAUCUUUCAUUUAUGGCGAGAAUGAUUGCAGUAGGUGACAGGUUUAGCUAUUAAAAAUAUUAACUAUGGGUAUUUUCGAGCAUAUACAAAAGGAGAGGGAAGUGCCUCAUGAACACCACAUAUGGCCCCUAAACUUCAAUCUUCUAAAGACUUUGUUCUGUUUUUGUACCCUCUCUUCCUCCCUCCUUGCUUGUUUUUUUUCCUCCUGUUUGCUGGAGAAUUUAAAACUAAAUCUCAGACAAUGCACGUUUCACCUUUAACAUGCUCCUACCAGAAAAGGACUUCAAAAACAAACUAACUAACUAACUAACUACAGUACCACCCCAUGAAAUGAAUGCCUCAUUAGCAUCUAAAACUCUGUAUGUGUUGAUGUUUCACCAAAUGUCCUUUGAUAGUUUGUUCAGAUCAGAAUAUAAAAAAAAGUCCCUCAAGAAUCCCCGGAUGAUGCGCUGUUAACUCGACACAGCUGCCCUUUCACACCUCUUCCCCCACUCCCACCCCCCACCGACCCCCCCUGUUAUCUGUUUUGGUGAAGGAAAGGGGGACCUUCGUUCUGCAGAAUGUUGCAUCUUCCGAUUUGGCUGACAGCUUCCUGUCUCCCCUUCUUUCUUAUAAACAGACGGUUUGGGCUGGAAGUUUGAUGAGAUUCAGUUUGGGGUUUUGUUGGGGGUGGGGGGUGUCUGGGUGCGUUUUGCACAACGUUUUGAAAGACAGUUCGCAGGCUGUGUGCUCCUCCCUGCAUCCUGGUGGCUUUUUCCAUUAGGCAUUUUAUGACGUUAACAUGGAUUGUCAAUCUGAUCCGUCCGUCGAGUUUUCACCAACUUUCCGCCUCGUGACUGUGGCAGCUGAUGAUGAUAACGGCCCUGGACGCAUUAUUUUCCGGGUUCUGCAAAGGGAUGCUUUUCUAGCUCAAUUAUCCUUCUGCAUUUAUGAGCUUAAUUCUUCUGUAAAGAAUUCCCUUAUUGACUAUGUAGUUACCUUGAAGGGUGGUUCUUACUGAGGAGGCAGGAUAAGUGCCUGGGUGCCUUAGCAACCCGCCAAAGGGAUCAAUGACGUUUAUUUGUUCGCAUUAUAAAAGGCUCAUGGAUUUUUAUAUAUUUGACUGGUUUUUAUCUUCCGUAAUCAUUAUUAAUCAUGAUGCUCAAACUGUCCCCACUUUGACCUGAGAGUUCCUUCCCGUGGCUUCCGGUGUUCUUUUGACCCGUUUCCGUUACACGUGAGAGCCUCCUGGCUUUUCAGGUACAAGAAGGCCCAAGGUCAUCUUUUACAUUUGCAGUCCUGGAUAUGGAAUCAGUAAUUUCUCAAGGGGUACGAUGCCUGUUAGUGAAACAUGAUACUUGGAGAACAGAAUACCUCUGCUAGAAAAGAAGGGAUGCCUUC